GCCCGCUUGGGUGCCUGCUGUUUCCUCCUUGGCAUCGCUCUACUUCGCUCCAGUCCCACUUCUGGCGCCCCAGCCCCGAGCCGCGCGCGGGGGCCCGCGGUCUUUCUCGCCUCUCUGGGUCUCCUCCGCCUCCUGCCCGGUGGCUCCUAGGGCGUCACUCGGCCUCUGUCCCCCUGACGAUCCCCCCUGCAACUCCUCCACCACGGGCCAGAGACCCCCCUCUCUGGGUGGCAGACACGGACGGCUGUGCCGGCUGGUUGGAAGUAGAGGAUAUCUCUCCUCCAGUAACUGUUCUGUGAAAACUUUAAGGUAGCAAUCUCUGGUUAUUUCCUACCCUCCCAUGACACCUGGUACAGCAUCACGCUGAAGGGGAGAACUGGACAAGAGGACAUGCCAGAUGGAUGGUGGAGAGUGACAGCAAGAGUAAAGCAGGGUGUUGUGACAGAGAGUGCAGGGGGCAGGGUCCACACAGGGUGGGGGUCAUGGAAAGCCUUUCUGAGAAGAUAACAUUUAAACUGAGAUCUGGAAGACACAAAGCAGCCAACCAGGAGCCAAAGCCUGAAAUUGGAAGAGAUUUCUCUGCUUCUAAAACACAAAAAUGCAGCUGCCAGGUCCCAGGUUGAGAGAGCCAGCCAGCCAGCCCGGGGAAAGGGGAGCAGAAAGGAGGCAAGAGAGGUGACUACUUGCAGUUGGUGACAGUGUUUUGCUGCUGCUGAAGAAUCCCGACCACGUCGCUGGCCCAGUAAUCCAUUGCUCAACUUCAUUAACCACAGGAAGACAUUAAGUGAAUGUAAGGACCGGAACAGCCUGGAAACCAUGUGACAAGCAGCCUUUAAGUUCUGGGCUCCGGUAUAUUUUAUGCCACCUCAACUGUGCAUCAAGCUCUCCUCCCUGGACUCAUUAGAACUGUGUGCCCAAAGGUACCCCUCAACUUUCAGAAGCAAAUAGAGUAUGAUAUAAUUUGCUCUGAGAACACCUUUCUGUCUUAUCAGGGAGCAUGUCUUAUCUAUUAUGAUUAGGCAUUAAGCGUCCUAUUGUCCUGAAAAUUUCAUGAGAUUCUACCCCUGCUUGCUAGGAUUAUGCCAAAGUGACUUGUCCUGGAUGCUGUGUUCGCCCAUCAAUACAGCUUGUCUUUUCUGCUUAACUAUUGCUGGGAAGGCCAACACAGCUAAGGAACCCACAGACGUAAAGUGGUUGAAUAGUUCGGGACUGUUGCAAAUCCUCUUGUGUGUCUUGAAGGUUUGCGUGUCUUGCUUUUGGUUCCCCAAGAAGCACACACCCCAAGAUAAAGAUUUGAGAGCAAGUAGUUUAUUUGGGAGAUUAUCCUGGAAAACUCCAGUAGGGAAGUGGGGGAGUGAAUAAAGAAAAGGUUGCAGGCUAUAGGGGUGUGUUACCAAGCAGGUUAUCACAGCCGGCAAUUGCAACUUAAUCCUGCUGGGGGAAAGCUGGGAGUCAGUGUAGAUCAUGCACUUCUGAGACAUCCCUUCUGAAGUAUGAGAGAGCUGGGGUAUCCAUCUACAUUCCAUCCUGAGAGCUGGGAUGAGGGCCUCUCCUGGCCUUCCCUGCAGGCAAAGAGCCACGGGUGCUGGCAGUUAAAGCGGAGUGCGGAGAAGUGGGCCGAGUACCAGGCGAUGUCUGUUGCAUUGGAAUCCCCCAAACUGGGAGCUUCACAUGGUCAAGGACCAAGACUGUCUCUUAUUCAUUGCAACGUCUCCACUUAGCCUAGUGCCAGGUACACAGCAGAACUUCAAUAAACAGCAGACCUUCAAUAACGAUCUAGCGAAGGCCCAGUGUAUUUGAAAGCUUCACACGAUGCCUCUUUUAGUUGCUCCCUCUGUUUUAGAGCUAUUGUUUAUAAUGUAUUU